GACGAACGCUGGCGGCGUGCUUAACACAUGCAAGUCGAACGAAGUGGCGAACGGGUGAGUAACGCGUAAUCAACCUGCCCUUCAGAGGGGGACAACAGUUGGAAACGACUGCUAAUACCGCAUACUGAAGGAGUGGAUUGCGUCGGACUAGCUCGGUGGAGGGGUAACGGCCCACCAAGGCGAUGAUAAGUAGCCGGGUUGAGAGGAUGAACGGCCACAUUGGGGCUGAGGAACGGCCCAGAAUCCUACGGGAAGCAGCAGUGGGGAAUCUUCCGAAAUGGGCGAAAGUCUGACGGAACAACGCCCCGUGAGUGGUGACGGGCUUCGGGUUGUAAAGGUCUGUUAAUCGGGGCGCGGUACCGGAAUAGAAAGCCACGGCUAACUACGUGCCAGCCGCCGCGGUAAUAC
rnacentral:rRNA from 1 species